UACGAAGGGGGCGAGCGUUGUUCGGAAUCACUGGGCGUAAAGGGCGCGUAGGCGGCCCUCCUAGUCGCGUGUGAAAGCCCCGGGCUCAACCUGGGAACGGCGCGCGAAACGGGGGGGCUGGAGUUCGGGAGAGGAGCGUGGAAUUCCCAGUGUAGAGGUGAAAUUCGUAGAUAUUGGGAAGACCACCGCUGGCGAAGGCGGCGCUCUGGACCGCGCCUGACGCUGAGGCGCGCGAUCUUGGGGAGCAAACAGG
rnacentral:rRNA from 1 species